rnacentral:rRNA from 1 species
UACGUAGGGGGCAAGCGUUAUCCGGAAUUAUUGGGCGUAAAGGGUGCGUAGGCGGUUUAAAAAGUCUUAGGUGAAAGGCUACGGCUCAACCGUAGUAAGCCAAGGAAACAUUUAGACUUGAGUGCAGGAGAGGAGAGUGGAAUUCCUAGUGUAGCGGUGAAAUGCGUAGAUAUUAGGAGGAACACCAGUGGCGAAGGCGACUCUCUGGACUGUAACUGACGCUGAGGCACGAAAGCGUGGGGAGCGAACAGG